AGAGUUUGAUCCUGGCUCAGGAUGAACGCUAGCUACAGGCUUAACACAUGCAAGUCGAGGGGCAGCAUGGUCUUAGCUUGCUAAGGCCGAUGGCGACCGGCGCACGGGUGAGUAACACGUAUCCAACCUGCCGUCUACUCUUGGACAGCCUUCUGAAAGGAAGAUUAAUACAAGAUGGCAUCAUGAGUUCACAUGUUCACAUGAUUAAAGGUAUUCCGGUAGACGAUGGGGAUGCGUUCCAUUAGAUAGUAGGCGGGGUAACGGCCCACCUAGUCUUCGAUGGAUAGGGGUUCUGAGAGGAAGGUCCCCCACAUUGGAACUGAGACACGGUCCAAACUCCUACGGGAGGCAGCAGUGAGGAAUAUUGGUCAAUGGGCGAGAGCCUGAACCAGCCAAGUAGCGUGAAGGAUGACUGCCCUAUGGGUUGUAAACUUCUUUUAUAAAGGAAUAAAGUCGGGUAUGUAUACCCGUUUGCAUGUACUUUAUGAAUAAGGAUCGGCUAACUCCGUGCCAGCAGCCGCGGUAAUACGGAGGAUCCGAGCGUUAUUCGGAUUUAUUGGGUUUAAAGGGAGCGUAGAUGGAUGUUUAAGUCAGUUGUGAAAGUUUGCGGCUCAACCGUAAAAUUGCAGUUGAUACUGGAUAUCUUGAGUGCAGUUGAGGCAGGCGGAAUUCGUGGUGUAGCGGUGAAAUGCUUAGAUAUGACGAAGAACUCCGAUUGCGAAGGCAGCUUGCAGUAGCGUAACUGACGCUGAAGCUCGGAAGUGCGGGUAUCGAACAGGAUUAGAUACCCUGGUAGUCCGCACGGUAAACGAUGGAUGCUCGCUGUGUGCCCUUGGGUACGCGGCCAAGCGAAAGCGUUAAGCAUCCCACCUGGGGAGUACGCCGGCAACGGUGAAACUCAAAGGAAUUGACGGGGGCCCGCACAAGCGGAGGAACAUGUGGUUUAAUUCGAUGAUACGCGAGGAACCUUACCCGGGCUUGAAUUGCAGGAGAACGAUACAGAGAUGUUGAGGUCCUUCGGGACUCCUGUGAAGGUGCUGCAUGGUUGUCGUCAGCUCGUGCCGUGAGGUGUCGGCUUAAGUGCCAUAACGAGCGCAACCCCUCUCCGUAGUUGCCAUCAGGUGAUGCUGGGCACUCUGCGGACACUGCCGCCGUAAGGUGUGAGGAAGGUGGGGAUGACGUCAAAUCAGCACGGCCCUUACGUCCGGGGCUACACACGUGUUACAAUGGGUCAUACAGAGUGUUGUGCGUAUGCAAAUACGUUCUAAUCAUUAAAAUGAUCCUCAGUUCGGAUUGGGGUCUGCAACCCGACCCCAUGAAGCUGGAUUCGCUAGUAAUCGCGCAUCAGCCAUGGCGCGGUGAAUACGUUCCCGGGCCUUGUACACACCGCCCGUCAAGCCAUGAAAGCCGGGGGCGCCUGAAGUCCGUAACCGCAAGGAUCGGCCUAGGGUGAAACCGGUGAUUGGGGCUAAGUCGUAACAAGGUA
rnacentral:rRNA from 1 species